CGAGUUCGCGGGAGAGUAGGUUAUUGCCAGGGUUUUUAUUUUUAUACUUUAAACUUUGAUUUUAUUUUUAUGUUUUUUAAAUAUUGGUGUUUUUGAAUGUGUUGUUUAAAUAACAUAAAAAAUAAAAUAUAUAUUGACAUGUAUUAAACAAAGAUAUAUAUUAUUUUAUGUUGUAUAAAUAAAUUGGCAAAAUAGAGAUGGAAGAUAAAAAUAUGGUCAAAGUAAUAAGAGUCUAUGGUGAAUGCCUAGGAGC
rnacentral:misc_RNA from 1 species